UGGUGGAGCGAUUUGUCCGGUCAAUUCCGAUAACGAACGAGACUCUAGCCUACUAAAUAGUUCGGGGACCCCCACAAAGGGGCCCCGCUUCAACUUCUUAGAGGGACAGGUGGCGUUUAGCCACACGAGAUUGAGCAAUAACA
rnacentral:rRNA from 1 species